rnacentral:rRNA from 1 species
UAGGGAAUCUUCCACAAUGGGCGAAAGCCUGAUGGAGCAACGCCGCGUGUGUGAUGAAGGCUUUAGGGUCGUAAAGCACUGUUGUAUGGGAAGAAAUGCUAGAAUAGGGAAUGAUCCUAGUUCGACGGUACCAUACCAGAAAGGGACGGCUAAAUACGUGCCAGCAGCCGCGGUAAUACGUAUGUCCCGAGCGUUAUCCGGAUUUAUUGGGCGUAAAGCGAGCGCAGACGGUUGAUUAAGUCUGAUGUGAAAGCCCGGAGCUCAACUCCGGAAUGGCAUUGGAAACUGGUUAACUUGAGUGUUGUAGAGGUAAGUGGAACUCCAUGUGUAGCGGUGGAAUGCGUAGAUAUAUGGAAGAACACCAGUGGCGAAGGCGGCUUACUGGACAACAACUGACGUUGAGGCUCGAAAGUGUGGGUAGCAAACAGGAUUAGAUACCCUGGUAGUCCACACCGUAAACGAUGAAUACUAGGUGUUAGGAGGUUUCCGCCUCUUAGUGCCGAAGCUAACGCAUUAAGUAUUCCGCCUGGGGAGUACGACCGCAAGAUUG